GGUCUUUGGGGCAGGGUGAAAAUCCCUACCGAUGGUAUAGUCCAUGAACCCUCGAGCGAUCGGGGGCCGAUCUGGUGCGAUUCCAGAACCGACGGUGACAGUCCGGAUGGGAAAAGACG
rnacentral:ncRNA from 1 species